AACGAACGCUGGCGGCAUGCCUAACACAUGCAAGUCGAACGAGACCUUCGGGUCUAGUGGCGCACGGGUGCGUAACGCGUGGGAAUCUGCCCUUGGGUUCGGAAUAACAGUUGGAAACGAGUGCUAAUACCGGAUGAUGACGGAAGUCCAAAGAUUUAUCGCCCAAGGAUGAGCCCGGGUAGGAUUAGCUAGUUGGUGGGGUAAAGGCUGAUCAAGGCGAGGAUCCGUAGCUGGUCUGAGAGGAUGAUCAGCCACGCUGGGACUGAGACACGGUCCAGACUACUGCGGGAGGGACAAGGCGGGGAUUCUUGCGAGUGGGAGCAGGGGGGAAGAUGGGACAACGCGCGAGAGACGGAGGCAGCCAUGCCGUAUAGGUGAUGUAGGCCUUAGGAAUGUAAAGCUCUUUUACCCGGGAUGAUAAUGACGGUACCGGGAGAAUAAGCUCCGGCUAACUCCGU
rnacentral:rRNA from 1 species